UGUUCUUUUAGAUACGCUGUAACAUAAAAAGUAGGUGCCUUUGAAAUUGAAAGAACUUAAAUGUUUCUUGAUUUUAUACUUUUAGGUAUUCAGAACUGUUAUCUAAUCAUUGACUUGAGCAACUAUGCUUUACUAGUAUGUGAAUGUUUUGAAAAAGAAGAUCUUUUCCUUCAUUCACCUGAGCUUUACUUCCAAUCAGCUCUAGUCAGGAUUGUGAACUGAAAAUCUGUUAGCAUUUUGGAGCAUAUUUGAUAUAUUUUUGGAGAACAUCUUUAAAUUUGUUUUUGUUGGAACAAGUACAAUUUGUUCACUUUUAGACCUCUCCAUGGAAUGACACAAGGCACAAUACACAGUGGGACCCUACUGAAGAGGAGCUCUGCAGAAACCUGCCUCAUGUCCAGCAUGACUAGGAAGCCAGGGGGGACGGUGAGGAAGCUGCUGGUUGGGACUGACCUUCCUACUGAGACUAAACCAUGACAACCAUAAAGAUGUUGCAAAACUUCAACUGGAUAAUCCUGGUGCCUAUUUUUUCUGUGCUUGAGGAAUUUAUUUGUCAUCUGCUGUCUUUGCAGCCACUCAUAUUUUUGCCAAGUUUUGCUAAAGCCAGCAAAGUUUCUGGAUGCUAUUAUUUUCAACCAAUCUGCAGCAUUUAGAUGAACAGGAAAUGCACAAAUGUGUGCUGGAGAAUCUGUCAUAUGUGAGAUAUGAGCUAUGUUCUUUUAUCUGGUGUGUAAACAUCUCUUAUUAAAUAUUGCACUUUAUCAGGAUAAAUUUUGUUUACUUAGGUUUUAGGGCAAGUGGGGGAGGAAAACAUCUUUUCUGCAUUUUCUCAGCCAUCAGUUUUUCUUCAAAAGUUUUAUUCUUAUUAGAAAUAAAGCUUCUUUAUUCUCCACUGCUCUGUAGAGGUUUCUUAACAUAACAGACAGACCUAUUUUCAAUUUAUUAUUGUUCCUGUUCUAUGUGCUAUUGAUUUUUCUCUUAUUUUAAACUUUUUUUAAUCUUAAAUGCAAAGUCUUUUUUCAGCUUCAAGGGAGCAAUUCAGACAAACAUUUUGCUGGUGAAUAAUUCAAAGCAUAGCAUAAGGAUUUUUUGCUGAAUUUGUCCUUAGCAUGUUUUUAAAAUUCUCUAUUAUUUCUUCUACAAUCUUCUUACUGUUAUUUCAGAACUUGUUUUGCUUCCUGUCAGAAAAACCUAUUUGACUAAUCACAGUUUCUUUCUAUUCAUGUAUAUUAUCUUUAGGAAGGCCUUGAUUCAUGAGUUUUCAUAAAUGAGUACCAAACUUAAACUAAACUGCUAUACAAUAUGAUUGCAGAAACUAGAUGUUUAUGAAUCAAGGCUGAAAUAUAUAGUUUCUGGUUUAGAAGAUGCCCAUGGUCAUUCCAUUUUUACCAUCUUCUAUCUAGCUAUGACUAUGGAUAUAAACUUUUGUUGC